CAAGCAGAACUGUCGCCCUUCUUCGCCCUCUGCUUCGCGAGAGCUUCGAAGGGCAGGCUAGUCCUAAUCAACUUAUGAGACUGGCUUGCCCUACGUAGCUCUGAACGGAGUGAAGAGCGAAGAAGGGAGGAAAGUCCGGACACUCGGUUAUUUAAUUGACACGGGUAACAGGUAAUUCCUGUCGAUCGUGAGAUAGAGGUGCGAGCAGAGACGCCGAGACUCGCAAGAGUCAAGGUGUCCCGAAUUGCGAAAGCAACAUCGGGACGCCGUGGAAAGUGAUUUCCCGGAACCCUUCGGGGUUAGUCUUGAUGGAAACAUCAAGGGUGAAACGGCUAAAUCCUUACCUGAGUGCAAGGGCAAGUUUUGGUAGCCCGCGUGAGCCAAAGAGUAAUCUUUGGCCCAGAUAGAUGACAGCUAAAACAGAAUCCGGCUUACUCGCUUGUUUA
rnacentral:RNase_P_RNA from 1 species